rnacentral:rRNA from 1 species
GAUGAACGCUAGCUACAGGCUUAACACAUGCAAGUCGAGGGGUAGCAGGGUAGCAAUACCGCUGACGACCGGCGCACGGGUGAGUAACACGUAUCCAACCUUCCCAUAACUCGGGGAUAGCCUUUCGAAAGAAAGAUUAAUACCAGAUAGUACUUAACAAAGGAAUCUUUGAUAAGUUAAAGAUUUAUUGGUUAUGGAUGGGGAUGCGUUCCAUUAGAUAGUUUGUGAGGUAUAGGCUCACCAAGUCUUCGAUGGAUAGGGGUUCUGAGAGGAAGGUCCCCCACAUUGGUACUGAGACACGGACCAAACUCCUACGGGAGGCAGCAGUGAGGAAUAUUGGUCAAUGGGCGAGAGCCUGAACCAGCCAAGUAGCGUGAAGGAUGAAGGUCCUAUGGAUUGUAAACUUCUUUUAUAGUAGAAUAAAGUGAUCCACGUGUGGAUUUUUGUAUGUAUACUAUGAAUAAGGAUCGGCUAACUCCGUGCCAGCAGCCGCGGUAA